GAGGGGCUAAGCAGGUGUGGCAGGUGAUAAAUGUGACAUUGUGUGUCUACCUGGGAAAAAGGCAAGCGAGAGCAGCUGCUGCAUGACUGACAGCAGAAUCAAACUGCUGGAGCAAAUACCGCCUGCCUGACCAUCUCGCCGGGAAAUCAAUGUAACAUUGGAGCAAAUCAGAGCCACAUAUAAGAAAUGGCCUCUGUAUGUUCCUCCUCUGUGAGGCAGACGACGUGGUCCGUGUCAUGCUGUUUUCUCCUCGCUGUGGUAUCGCAGGGACACAGGCAGCCAGCCACUGUGGAGGAGCGAGCCCGGGAAUGACAAACACACACUUGAUCUCAUGAACCUGCAUUACAAAUAACAUUCAGAAGAACAGACAUGGUCAGAGCCAUGAGAGAUGGAGAGGAGGACGCAUUCAGACAGCUGACGAAAAUAAAACAGAGACAAGGAGCAACA